rnacentral:rRNA from 1 species
UGGGGAAUAUUGCACAAUGGGCGAAAGCCUGAUGCAGCCAUGCCGCGUGUGUGAAGAAGGCCUUCGGGUUGUAAAGCACUUUCAGUAGGGAGGAAAGGUUAACAAUUAAUACUUGUUAGCUGUGACGUUACCUACAGAAGAAGGACCGGCUAACUCCGUGCCAGCAGCCGCGGUAAUA